rnacentral:rRNA from 1 species
AGAACGAACGCUGGCGGCAGGCUUAACACAUGCAAGUCGAACGCUCGUGAGCGAUCACGGGAGUGGCAGACGGGUGAGUAACGCGUGGGAACAUACCCUCCGGUUCGGAAUAACCCAGGGAAACUUGGGCUAAUACCGGAUACGCCCCCGGAUUUAAUCCGGGGGGAAAGGUUUAUAUGCCGGAGGAUUGGCCCGCGUCCGAUUAGCUAGUUGGUGAGGUAACGGCUCACCAAGGCGACGAUCGGUAGCUGGUCUGAGAGGAUGAUCAGCCACAUUGGGACUGAGACACGGCCCAAACUCCUACGGGAGGCAGCAGUGGGGAAUAUUGGACAAUGGGCGCAAGCCUGAUCCAGCCAUGCCGCGUGAGUGAUGACGGCCUUAGGGUUGUAAAGCUCUUUCGCUCGGGACGAUAAUGACGGUACCGAGAUAAGAAGCCCCGGCUAACUUCGUGCCAGCAGCCGCGGUAAUACGAAGGGGGCUAGCGUUGUUCGGAAUUACUGGGCGUAAAGCGCGUGUAGGCGGGUCUUUAAGUCAGGGGUGAAAUGCCAAGGCUCAACCUUGGAACUGCCUUUGAUACUGGAGAUCUUGAGUCCGGGAGAGGUGAGUGGAACUGCGAGUGUAGAGGUGAAAUUCGUAGAUAUUCGCAAGAACACCAGUGGCGAAGGCGGCUCACUGGCCCGGAACUGACGCUGAGACGCGAAAGCGUGGGGAGCAAACAGGAUUAGAUACCCUGGUAGUCCACGCUGUAAACGAUGGAUGCUAGCCGUUGGGGAGCUUGCUCUUCAGUGGCGCAGCUAACGCUUUAAGCAUCCCGCCUGGGGAGUACGGUCGCAAGAUUAAA